rnacentral:rRNA from 1 species
CCUACGGGGGGCUGCAGUGGGGAAUAUUGGACAAUGGGGGGAACCCUGAUCCAGCCAUGCCGCGUGUGUGAAGAAGGUCUUAGGAUUGUAAAGCACUUUAAGUUGGGAGGAAGGGCAGUUAACUAAUAUUUGACUGUUUUGACGUUACCGACAGAAUAAGCACCGGCUAACUUCGUGCCAGCAGCCGCGGUAAUACGAAGGGUGCAAGCGUUAAUCGGAAUUACUGGGCGUAAAGCGCGCGUAGGUGGUUCGUUAAGUUAGGAGUGAAAGCCCCGGGCUCAACCUGGGAAUUGCUUCUAAAACUGGCGGGCUAGAGUAUGGUAGAGGGUGGUGGAAUUUCCUGUGUAGCGGUGAAAUGCGUAGAUAUAGGAAGGAACAUCAGUGGCGAAGGCGACCACCUGGACUGAUACUGACACUGAGGUGCGAAAGCGUGGGGAGCAAACAGGAUUAGAUACCCCUGUAGUC